GCCGGCCGUGGCGCGUGCCUGUAGUCCCAGCUACUUGGGAGGCUGAGGUGGGAGGAUCGCUUGAGCCCAGGAGUUCUGGGCUGUAGUGCGCUAUGCUGAUCGGUGUCUGCACUAAGUUCAGCAUCAAUAUGGUGACCUCCCGGGAGCGGGGGACCACCAGGUUGCCUAAGGAGGGGUGAACCGGCCCAGGUCGGAAACGGAGCAGGUCAAAACUCCCGUGCUGAUCAGUAGUGGGAUCGCGCCUGUGAAUAGCCACUGCACUCCAGCCUGGGCAACAUAGCAAAACUCCUUCCUA
rnacentral:SRP_RNA from 1 species